rnacentral:rRNA from 1 species
CACGUAGGGUGCGAGCGUUGUCCGGAAUUAUUGGGCGUAAAGAGCUCGUAGGCGGUGUGUCGCGUCGGCCGUGAAAACCUGCCAGCUUAACUGUGGGCUUGCGGUCGAUACGGGCAUCACUGGAGUUCGGCAGGGGAGACUGGAUUCUGGUGUAGCGGUGAAAUGCGCAGAUAUCAGGAGGAACACCGGUGGCGAAGGCGGGUCUCUGGGCCGAUACUGACGCUGGAGGAGCGAAAGCGUGGGGAGCGAACAGGG